GGAACCCCCUUAAAAAACGGGGAAUGCCAUAACUCGCAAGGGCCUCGCCUAGUCCUUCCGACUCAGCUUCACCCCAUUUCUCCUGCAGCAGAUUGCACAGGCAGCUGGAAGCUUCUCCUCAUUUCCCCCGCCGCAGGUCACACAGGAGCCGGAAGCUUUUUCGGACUCCUCCCUAUCCCCCUCCCGCCCUACGCCUCCCCGUCGAUCUUCCCAAGCCCCUCUUGGCUCCCCUCCCACCCACCGCCUUGCACCUUCUUUCACCCCUCUGCUCACGCACUCGCGUGCCACUGUGGAGUCUCGUGUGGGACACCCCAAAUCCCGCUGUCGCUAAUCACCAUUCCCCCAUUGUUAUUCAGUUAAAACACCCACACCUGAAGAUAUAAGGUUCCUAAAAGCUACCAUGGCCUCUUGUCAGAUCUGCCAAAAGAUAAUGGCCCAGAGUUUACUUCCCAGAUUUCUCAAAAUCCAUCUAGGGCACUUGGAAUACCCUAGAAUUUCCACAUACUGUACCACCCUCAGUCUUCAGGUAAGGUAGAACAGACUAACCGCUCUUUAAAGGAAGCCCUCAUUAAAAUGUCACAGGAACUCCACCUCGACUGGGUAAGCUUCUGCCUCUGGCUCUUCUCAGGCUUCAGGCUCUCCCAAAGGGCCCCCUUUUCAUUUCACCUUUCGAACUCAUGUAGGGGUGGCCGUUUUUAACCCCCGCCUCUCAUGGGGAACCUCUCCCCUUCCUGAUCACCUGCUCACUCCCCUCCUUUUCUACCUACGCUCGCUACUGUGGGACUUCACAGAUCACUCACUACCUCAACCAUGUGCUAACACAUGUCCACCGCCAGUUAAAAUAGGAGAUAAGCUGCCGCGCUUGAAGGAAUUUCUCGCUGGAUUCACCUGUCACAUCUUAAACCAUUCAUCUCCAAGGCUCAAGAUAAUCCUCCAUACACGGUAACUCAGACAGGACCUUGUUCUCUUAAGUUCCAAAGGACACCAGGUUCAGCCCCCUCUACUCCAGUCUAAGGGAAAUAGUGGUCCCAUCCUUCACUUAAUCCUCCUGUGUUAACACACCCUCCCUUCUUUAAAUUCCUAAAUAACCAUCCAGCUUUCAUUACAGAAAUCAUCAUCGGAAACGGAGACAAAGGUUCAGGUGGUAAGCAAAUUCUUAACAAAGUUCCUUGGCAUAACAGGUUCAUCACUGUCUGCAGCAGUGACCCCUAAAAUGUUAAGGAAUAUAUGGUUAAAAUCUAUUUCUUUUAAGACAUUUUCUUUAAGCUCCAAGAUGCCAGCUCAAUCCACCUGAACAAAGCAGACACAAACAGAUCAUUAACGGAAUAAGUACCAUUUAUUUUUUUUUUAUCAUUCUUAACCCCAGACCUCCUAAAGCCCCCACCCCAAAUCUCCCCUUUAAUUUCCCAAAUCUCCUCUCCCCUUAAAUUUUUUUUCUCUACUAAUGCGACUUUUGUUUCCAGCAUCUUAACGAUGACCCAGUUCCUCAAGAGCCAGACAGAUGCGAUUUCUUCAAUCAGCCACCUCAAAACACAAGCGGACAGGACAUAAUCAACAAAACAUCAUCAGAACGAUUGGACACUCCCCGUAUCCCUUGACGCCCAAAGCGAGCAGGAAGCAGUCAUGAGAGACUGGGCUAUGCCUCCAUUCCCUACCCGUUAAGACCCUCAACCCCCCCCCCAUUUUUUUUUAAAUAAAACCAAAAGGGUAAAAUGCUGUUCCUUUCAGAGACAAGGCCUCACAUGCGCAGAAGGAUCAUUGGACUACAAUUCCCAGAAGCGGUAGAGGACACUACAAAUCCCAGUUCGACGGAAAGCCAUGCAUGCGCAGGACAUUUUCCCAGAUGCACCUGGAUCCACCUUAAAAACGGGGAACGCCAUAGCUCACCCCUUUUUCUCCUUUCGUCUCUUCACCCCUGUCCCUCACCUGUCGUCACCCCCCCAUUGAAGUUCACCCACGUGGGACCGCCAUGAAUCUCGUGUUUUCUCUCCAACCCCAUAGAAAGAACAACACUCUGAAACUGAUACUAAUUUAGAUUUAUGGUUUCAGCAGAUGGCCGAAAGGAAAAAUGAAAAGUAAAUUUAAAAAAAUCUAUGUUCAAAAAAAA